UUGGAUCGUCCGAGUNGUAAUCUAGAGAAGCGUUUUCCAGCGUUGCGGCCGUGUACAAGUCUCCUGGAAGGGAGCAUCAUAGAGGGUGAGAAUCCCGUCUUUGACAUGGAAGCGCAGGGCUUUGUGAUGCGCUCUCGACGAGUCGAGUUGUUUGGGAAUGCAGCUCAAAACGGGUGGUAAACUCCAUCUAAAGCUAAAUACGGGCGAGAGACCGAUAGCGAACAAGUACCGUGAGGGAAAGACGAAAAGGACUUUGAAAAGAGAGUUAAACAGUACGUGAAAUUGCUGAAAGGGAAACGCUUGAUGUCAGUCGCGUCGGCCCGGGGUCAACCUUGCUUCAUCGCUGGGUGUACUUCCUGGUCGACGGGUCAGCGUCAGUUUCGAGUUCGCCGUACAAAGGUGAGAGCGAAUGUACCACGUCCAGGCGUGCGUUAUAGCCUCUCCGUCUUAUGCGGCGGUCGGGACUGAGGAACUCAGCAAUGCU
rnacentral:rRNA from 1 species